rnacentral:rRNA from 1 species
AGAGUUUGAUCCUGGCUCAGAAUAAACGCUGGCGGCGUGCCUAACACAUGCAAGUCGAACGAGAAAGCCCGGCUUCGGUUGGGCGAGUAAAGUGGCGCACGGGUGAGUAACGCGUAGGCAACCUACCCCUGUGUUCGGGAUAACAGAGCGAAAGCGCUGCUAAUACCGGAUGUGGCGGUGAGGCGAUGGUCUCAUCGUCAAAGUCGGCCUCUCGAAGAAGCUGACGCGCGGGGAUGGGCCUGCGUCCUAUCAGCUAGUUGGUAGGGUAACGGCCUACCAAGGCGACGACGGGUAGCUGGUCUGAGAGGAUGAUCAGCCACACUGGCACUGGAAUACGGGCCAGACUCCUACGGGAGGCAGCAGUGAGGAAUUUUGCGCAAUGGCCGCAAGGCUGACGCAGCAACGCCGCGUGGGUGAAGAAGGCCUUCGGGUCGUAAAGCCCUGUCAGGUGGGAAGAACGAGCGGGUGGCGAAUACCCUCCCGCAGUGACGGUACCACCAGAGGAAGCACCGGCUAACUCCGUGCCAGCAGCCGCGGUAAUACGGAGGGUGCGAGCGUUAUUCGGAAUUACUGGGCGUAAAGCGCGUGCAGGCGGGUGGACAAGUCUGAUGUGAAAGCCCCGGGCUCAACCUGGGAAGAGCAUUGGAAACUGUUCAUCUUGAGUGUUGGAGAGGAAGGGGGAAUUCCCGGUGUAGAGGUGAAAUUCGUAGAGAUCGGGAGGAAUACCAGUGGCGAAGGCGCCCUUCUGGACGACAACUGACGCUGAGACGCGAAAGCGUGGGGAGCAAACAGGAUUAGAUACCCUGGUAGUCCACGCUGUAAACGAUGAGCACUAGGUGUAGCGGGUACUCAUUCCUGCUGUGCCGCAGCUAACGCGUUAAGUGCUCCGCCUGGGGACUACGGUCGCAAGACUAAAACUCAAAGGAAUUGACGGGGGCCCGCACAAGCGGUGGAGUAUGUGGUUUAAUUCGACGCAACGCGAAGAACCUUA